GACGAACGCUGGCGGCGUGCUUAACACAUGCAAGUCGAACGGUGAUCUUGGGAGCUUGCUCUUGGGUGAUCAGUGGCGAACGGGUGAGUAACACGUGAGUAACCUGCCCCUGACUCUGGAAUAACUUCGGGAAACCGAAGCUAAUACCGGAUACGACACAGAGCUGCAUGGCUACUGUGUGGAAAGUUUUUCGGUUGGGGAUGGACUCGCGGCCUAUCAGCUUGUUGGUGAGGUAAUGGCUCACCAAGGCGACGACGGGUAGCCGGCCUGAGAGGGCGAUCGGCCACACUGGGACUGAGACACGGCCCAGACUCCUACGGGAGGCAGCAGUGGGGAAUAUUGCACAAUGGGCGAAAGCCUGAUGCAGCGACGCCGCGUGAGGGAUGAAGGCCUUCGGGUUGUAAACCUCUUUCAGUAGGGAAGAAGCGCAAGUGACGGUACCUACAGAAGAAGCACCGGCUAACUACGUGCCAGCCGCCGCGGUAACAC
rnacentral:rRNA from 1 species